rnacentral:rRNA from 1 species
UACGAGAGGUCCAAACGUUAUUCGGAAUUACUGGGCUUACAGAGCUCGUAGGCGGUCUGUUGCGUCGGCUGUGAAAACCCGGGGCUCAACUCCGGGCCUGCAGCCGAUACGGGCAGACUAGAGUUCGGCAGGGGAGACUGGAAUUCCUGGUGUAGCGGUGAAAUGCGCAGAUAUCAGGAGGAACACCGGUGGCGAAGGCGGGUCUCUGGGCCGAUACUGACGCUGAGGAGCGAAAGCGUGGGGAGCGAACAGG